rnacentral:tRNA from 1 species
GUCUCUGUGGUGCAACGGUUACCGCAGCCGCCUCCAAAGCGGGAAUUCCGGGUUCGAUUCCCGGCGGAGAUA